AGAGUUUGAUCCUGGCUCAGGACGAACGCUGGCGGCGUGCCUAACACAUGCAAGUCGAACGGGGUAAUUCCUUCGGGGAUUACUUAGUGGCGAACGGGUGAGUAACGCGUGAAGAACCUGCCUUUCAGUGGGGGACAACGGUUGGAAACGACUGCUAAUACCGCAUAAUGAAUCGAGAUCGCAUGAUUUUGAUUCCAAAGAUUUAUUGCUGAAAGAUGGCUUCGCGUCUGAUUAGCUAGUUGGCGGGGUAACGGCCCACCAAGGCGACGAUCAGUAGCCGGUCUGAGAGGAUGAACGGCCACAUUGGGACUGAGAUACGGCCCAGACUCCUACGGGAGGCAGCAGUGGGGAAUAUUGGGCAAUGGGGGAAACCCUGACCCAGCAACGCCGCGUGAAGGAAGAAGGCCUUCGGGUUGUAAACUUCUUUUAGAUGGGACGAAGAAGAUGACGGUACCAUCAGAAAAAGCAACGGCUAACUACGUGCCAGCAGCCGCGGUAAUACGUAGGUUGCAAGCGUUGUCCGGAUUUACUGGGUGUAAAGGGCGUGUAGGCGGAGCUGCAAGUCAGAUGUGAAAUCUCCGGGCUCAACCCGGAAAGUGCGUCCGAAACUACAUGGCUGGAGUACGGAAGAGGGAAUCGGAAUAUAGGGUGUAGCGGUGAAAUGCGUUGAUAUCCUAUAGAACACCGGAGGCGAAGGCGGAUUCCUUGUACGUUACUGACGCUGAGGCGCGAAAGUCGGGGGAGCAAACAGGAUUAGAUACCCUGGUAGUCCCGACCUUAAACGGUGUACACUCGGGGUUGGACCUUUUCAUCGGUUCAGUCUCUUAGCUAACGCGUUAAGUGUACCGCCUGGGGAGUACGGCCGCAAGGCUAAAACUCAAAGGAAUUGACGG
rnacentral:rRNA from 1 species